rnacentral:rRNA from 1 species
UACGUAGGGGGCUAGCGUUGUCCGGAAUCAUUGGGCGUAAAGCGCGUGUAGGCGGUCCGGUAAGUCCGCUGUGAAAGUCGGGGGCUCAACCCUCGAAUGCCGGUGGAUACUGUCGGGCUAGAGUGCGGAAGAGGCGAGUGGAAUUCCUGGUGUAGCGGUGAAAUGCGCAGAUAUCAGGAGGAACACCAAUGCGAAGGCAGCUCGCUGGGACGUAACUGACGCUGAGAACGCGAAAGCGUGGGGAGCAAACAGG